AAGUCGUAACAAGGUUUCCGUAGGUGAACCUGCGGAAGGAUCAUUAACACGUAUCCAACGUUAAACAACCCUGUGAACCUCCUGCAGCCCCAUGAAAUCGGUAAAUCAUUGUUGACCAGCUUUUGAGUCAGGGACCUCUGCCGAAACGGCUGUUCAGUACCGAGCGCAGUGUAAGCGACCUGGCAUCCCUAAGCGAUCAGUGUCUGAAAGUGUCAUUGAUUGUGUAAGGAUGGCGCAGUAAACGAUUGCUAGAGGCCCACGGCCGGCAACCGGGUCCCCUUUAUCACCCCACUGGGCAGCCGAUAAUACGGACGCCGUAAAAAACUGAACAACUGUUAACAAUGGAUAUCUUGGUUCUC
rnacentral:misc_RNA from 1 species